GAGUACAUUGUUUGUGGAAUAAGUAAUAUAGGAAUGGAAUUAGAGAGUUUGUGGUUGGUGAAAACAAAUGUACGGCACUAUAUGAAAUCUAUCCACGUAUAGAAACAAUUCGGGUCAAACCGUUAAAUUUUGUAAGAGUGCAGACAUAUGAAGAUGUCUGUUAAAUAGGGUGGCAACGCGUCAAAACCACGUCCCUUGU
rnacentral:ncRNA from 1 species